UACGAAGGGGGCUAGCGUUGUUCGGAUUUACUGGGCGUAAAGCGCACGUAGGCGGAUCGAUCAGUCAGGGGUGAAAUCCCAGAGCUCAACUCUGGAACUGCCUUUGAUACUGUCGAUCUGGAGUAUGGAAGAGGUGAGUGGAAUUCCGAGUGUAGAGGUGAGAUUCGUAGAUAUUCGGAGGAACACCAGUGGCGAAGGCGGCUCACUGGGACGGUACUGACGCUGAGGCGCGAAAGCGUGGGGAGCAAACAGG
rnacentral:rRNA from 1 species